UCGGCGAUGCACCCCUGGAAUCGGCGACUUGGUAGUCCCAGUCGACGAUUCCCAGGUGUUGCCUUGAGUACUUGACGUAGACACUUGUUCCGCACUGUGGAUGUCUUUCGAGAGUCCGGAGUAAAGCGACGGAACCCUAGUCUUUAUUGAGGGGCGUUGUUGGGAGUGACUGACGUAAUCAGGCAUGUCUCACUAGGAAGUCGUGCGCAUAGGGUCCAAAACAGCGUCUAUCAAAGCAAAAAUAUGAAAUGAUUAAAACACAAAAAAUGUUAACAUAGGCCAUAGACCCAAGCGGAGUAUUAAAAAAUAUAACAAAAUAAUAAAAAUAACUUUACUUUGUACUUAACUACUUAAUAUACUU
rnacentral:lncRNA from 1 species